rnacentral:rRNA from 1 species
AACGAACGCUGGCGGCAUGCCUAACACAUGCAAGUCGAACGAGACCUUCGGGUCUAGUGGCGCACGGGUGCGUAACGCGUGGGAAUCUGCCCUUGGGUUCGGAAUAACAGUUAGAAAUGACUGCUAAUACCGGAUGAUGUCUUCGGACCAAAGAUUUAUCGCCCAGGGAUGAGCCCGCGUCGGAUUAGCUAGUUGGUGAGGUAAAGGCUCACCAAGGCGACGAUCCGUAGCUGGUCUGAGAGGAUGAUCAGCCACACUGGGACUGAGACACGGCCCAGACUCCUACGGGAGGCAGCAGUGGGGAAUAUUGGACAAUAGGCGAAAGCCUGAUCCAGCAAUGCCGCGUGAGUGAUGAAGGCCUUAGGGUUGUAAAGCUCUUUUACCCGGGAUGAUAAUGACAGUACCGGGAGAAUAAGCCCCGGCUAACUCCGUGCCAGCAGCCGCCGUAACAC